rnacentral:rRNA from 1 species
GACGAACGCUGGCGGCGUGCCUAAUACAUGCAAGUCGAACGCAGUGGGGACGGGUGAGUAACACGUGGGUAACCUCCCAUCAGAGGGGAUAACACUUGGAAACAGGUGCUAAACCGAUACUGAUGGAUGGACCCGCGGUUCAUUAGCUAGUUGGUGAGGGAACGGCUCACCAAGGCCACGAUGACUAGCGGACCGGAGAGGGUGAUGGGCCAAACGGGGAUGGAGACACGGCCCAGACGCCGACGGGGGGCACCAGUAGGGAAUCUCCGGCAAUGGACGAAAGUCUGACCGAGAAACGCGGCGUGAGUGAAGAAGGUUUUCGGACCGUAAAACUCUGUUGUUAGAGAAGCGGUAUCUAACCAGAAAGCCACGGCUAACUACGUGCCAGCAGCCGCGGUAAUUC